rnacentral:rRNA from 1 species
GACGAACGCUGGCGGCGUGCUUAACACAUGCAAGUCGAACGGAAAUGCCCUGCUUGCAGGGUGCUCGAGUGGCGAACGGGUGAGUCACACGUGUGUGAUCUGCCCCUUACUUUGGGAUAAGCCUUGGAAACUGGGUCUAAUACUGGAUAGGACCAUGCUGUAGGUGGUGUGGUGGAAAGAUUAGUUUCGGUAAGGGAUGAGCUCGCGGCCUAUCAGCUUGUUGGUGGGGUAAUGGCCUACCAAGGCGUCGACGGGUAUCCGGCCUGAGAGGGUGGACGGUCACAUGGGGACUGAGAUCUGGCCCACACUCCUACGGGCGGCAGGAGGGAGGAGUAUUGCACAAUGGGCGAAAGGCUAAUGCAGCGACGCGCCGUGCCGGAUGAAGGCCUUAGGGUUGUAAAUUCCUUUCAGCUAUGACGAAGCAUUCGGGUGACGGUAGUGGUAGAAGAAGCACCGGCUAACUACGUG